rnacentral:lncRNA from 1 species
GAGAGAGAGAGAGAGAGAGAGAAUUUAUUUAUGUUCCCAAAGUUGAGCAAAAGAAAAUUGGUUAAUUAGAGGUUAUGGCUCCCUAAAUCCCACUUAAGUAAGAUUUUACUGUAUUUGGUCCUCACAUAAGACCUUUGAUUAUGUCAUACCCCAUGUUCUAAAACCUUCAUGGAGAAAUAAUAAUGGGAGGUGGUUAAAGAAUGAAGUAUCAUUUACAAAGGGAAAAAUUGGGCACAGCCAAACCAGCUGAUUAAGUACAUGGUGCCUUUUCUUACAGCACAGCCAUAAAAAUGAGAUUAUGCAACAGUGGCUUCCAGAAAGAGGGCAAGGAGUCUCACAGGGAGUCACACGACCCCCCCCUGCCUUCUGAUCACAGUGUUCUGGAAGUCAAAGUUCAAGACAGGGUUCAAGGCUGGCCUUGAACUCCCUAUGUAGCCCAGCCUGGCCUCGAACUCAUGACCAUCCUCCUGCCUCAGCCUCCCGAGUGCUGGGAUUACAGCCCUUGGAUGCAGUCCGGCCUCAUCCUCCCGCUCUGGCUCACUUUGCAUUUAACUUGCUGCCUUGCUGCCUUGCUGCCUUCUACUUGAAGUGUUUCUCCUCUGUGAUGCUGUUCUGCUGUGCUAUCCUGUCUUGGAGCCAGCCAGCUAUAAACUGAAACCUCUGCAAACCGUGAGUCAAAAUAAUCUUUUCCUACUUUUGAUCUCAGCAGUGAGAAAAGUAACUAAGACACUCAACCUCCC